UUCAGCUUGGCAGAAUAAAUGCAAUAAAUUUAGAAUUUAUGUAUGAGAAACACUCAGUUGAUA
rnacentral:tRNA from 1 species